rnacentral:rRNA from 1 species
UGGGGAAUAUUGCGCAAUGGGGGGAACCCUGACGCAGCCAUGCCGCGUGAAUGAAGAAGGCCUUCGGGUUGUAAAGUUCUUUCGGUAUUGAGGAAGGUUGAUGUGUUAAUAGCACAUCAAAUUGACGUUAAAUACAGAAGAAGCACCUGCUAACUCCGUGCCAGCAGCCGCGGUAAUACGGAGGGUGCGAGCGUUAAUCGGAAUAACUGGGCGUAAAGGGCACGCAGGCGGUUAUUUAAGUGAGGUGUGAAAGCCCCGGGCUUAACCUGGGAAUUGCAUUUCAGACUGGGUAACUAGAGUACUUUAGGGAGGGGUAGAAUUCCACGUGUAGCGGUGAAAUGCGUAGAGAUGUGGAGGAAUACCGAAGGCGAAGGCAGNCCCUUGGGAAUGUACUGACGCUCAUGUGCGAAAGCGUGGGGAGCAAACAGGAUUAGAUACCCUGGUAGUCCACGCUGUAAACGCUGUCGAUUUGGGGGUUGGGGUUUAACUCUGGCGCCCGUAGCUAACGUGAUAAAUCGACCGCCUGGGGAGUACGGCCGCAAGGUUA